UGGAGGCUGUUUAGGGGGGCUGUGUUGUGGAAGAUGUUGACGCGGCGGCUCGGGAAGAGAGGCGGUGGAGUCCGGCAAGGUGGACCGAGAGGUAGGCGGCGGAGUCCGGCAAGGUGGAGAUGGAGGGGGAGAGAGAGACUCUGUUAUGAGGCCAGCUGAAAAUCACCAUCUGGGUUCUCCCAUCAAUGAAAAGGGUCAAUCCCGACCUCCCCAUUCCCAUCAUCUUUAUGUAUAUGUUAUUCAAGAAAUAAUGGUCUCCCCACCUGGAAUAAGAAGUGUGACAACAAAGAUACAUUAGUAUUGCAUUUGAAACUUACCACCAACCCAGCAGUGUCACUUGCUUACAGUGCGAGAAUGGCCGGCAUCCAGAGAUUUACUCACACAAGGUUUGUGGCUUCA
rnacentral:lncRNA from 1 species